AACGAACGCUGGCGGCAUGCCUAACACAUGCAAGUCGAACGAAGCCUUCGGGCUUCGUGGCGGACGGGUGCGUAACGCGUGGGAAACUGACCGUAGGUUCGGCAUAACAGGUGGAAACGACUGCGAAUACAGGGUGAUGACGAAAGACAUAAGAUUGAUCGACAGAGGAGUGGCCGGCGUAGGAUUAGCUAGUUGGUGUGGUAAAGGCGCACCAAGGCGACGAUCCUUAGCUGGUCUGAGAGGAUGAUCAGCCACACUGGGACUGGGACACGGCCCAGACUCCUACGGGAGGCAGCAGUGGGGAAUAUUGGACAAUGGGCGAAAGCAUGAUCCAGCAAUGCCGCGUGAGUGAUGAAGGCCCUAGGGUUGUAAAGCUCUUUUACCCGGGAUGAUAAUGACAGUACCGGGAGAAUAAGCCCCGGCUAACUCCGUGCCAGCCGCCGCCGUAA
rnacentral:rRNA from 1 species